UACGGAAGGGGCAAGCGUUGUUCGGAAUCAUUGGGCGUAAAGGGCGCGUAGGCGGCCUGCUAAGUCGAACGUGAAAUCCCUGGGCUCAACCCAGGAACUGCGUCCGAUACUGGUUGGCUUGAAUCCGGGAGAGGGACGUGGAAUUCCAGGUGUAGCGGUGAAAUGCGUAGAUAUCUGGAGGAACACCGGUGGCGAAGGCGACGUCCUGGACCGGCAUUGACGCUGAGGCGCGAAAGCCAGGGGAGCAAACGGG
rnacentral:rRNA from 1 species